rnacentral:rRNA from 1 species
UACGUAGGGUGCAAGCGUUAAUCGGAAUUACUGGGCGUAAAGCGUGCGCAGGCGGUUUUGUAAGUCUGUCGUGAAAUCCCCGGGCUCAACCUGGGAAUGGCGAUGGAGACUGCAAGGCUAGAGUUUGGCAGAGGGGGGUAGAAUCCACGUGUAGCAGUGAAAUGCGUAGAUAUGUGGAGGAACACCGAUGGCGAAGGCAGCCCCCUGGGUCAAAACUGACGCUCGAUGCACGAAAGCGUGGGGAGCAAACAGGAUUAGAUACCCCCAGU